UAACCUACCUAUAAGACUGGGAUAACUUCGGGAAACCGGAGCUAAUACCGGAUAAUAUUUCGAACCGCAUGGUUCGAUAGUGAAAGGUGGUUUUGCUAUCACUUAUAGAUGGACCCGCGCCGUAUUAGCUAGUUGGUAAGGUAACGGCUUACCAAGGCGACGAUACGUAGCCGACCUGAGAGGGUGAUCGGCCACACUGGAACUGAGACACGGUCCAGACUCCUACGGGAGGCAGCAGUC
rnacentral:rRNA from 1 species